AUCAACAAUGGCUACUUCACUUUGCAAAACAAUUCGCUCAGGUUGAAAUCUCCACUCACGAGCACAGUGUCACCCGGCUGAACGAUGUUCAUAACGGAGUCAACAAACACAACGAAGAGUUGUAACGAGCGAUAUUCGAGCUCGAGCAACCUCUGUACUGAUGAUGCGAAGAUGGACCGCAACAAGCACCCCACCGCCAGUUCGCUUAUCGCUAUUAAGCGUGUUUCUGUCGCAACGAUAAACCGAAAAACACGAAGGAGUAUACUAUUCUUCUGUACGUCUUGUACAGAAGAGUCCAGGGUUUCCCACGAUCAGCGGAGCAACAGGACGAAACUCUAUUCCAUUGGUAACAACAGAUAGAGUAGAUUUCUCACACAAAUAUCCGUUAUUGCUGCAUCGUAACCGUCGGAUGGAUGGGAGCAGCGAGCGGAACAGAGAAACAGUCCCCCUGCUUCGAUGGACUAUCUCGUCGUCGCUCGUCUCGAAAAAUAGUGUUGUUACGUUCGGUACCCACAAACUCGCGGAAAUAAAUUCCCUUUUGCCAGCUUGUUGGCUGCAUUGCUUUUUCCUUUCACUUCAUCCCCACUCCGAUUUUGAACGAUAUGAAGGAGAGUUGAUUGAGAUCAACUCCUCUUUGAACCAAUUUGAUCACUUCAACAGAUUCAUUCAUUUCUAGAUUCCGCUGUACGAGACUUGAGAUCUCCUCCACAGUGGCGUGUGGAGGAACAAGCAUGACAGCGCUCCUCCAUUUCACACUACCGAUUCUGCUUCUCCAAACAAGAAAUUCGAAAAGAUACCGAGGUGCACGGUUUUCGGCUGGUUCGUCACUUUUACUUCCAUUUUUGGAAGAAUGUCGGGAGUGAGAAUUGAACUCGUGAUCUCUGCGUGAGAGGUAUGGAUGUUACCGCUACGCCAGAUCGCCUCCACAACAAGUUUUUUUCCUAGGUGAAGAAAUAUUACCUAACGGAUCCACGGGCGCCUUAGAGGACGCCUGAGCCUUAGUAGCUUAAUAGCUACUUGUUUAUUCACGAUAGUGUU